ACACAUAUAUGAUGAUGAGGCGAACUGGACUGGACUGAUCGCCACUCGCGCCCCCGCCCGCACCUUGAAGGCUCUUGAGCUCGACGUUAACGCCCUCUGCCGCUGGUGCCCGUCCCGAACAACGUGUUCGAGGGCUCCGGCACCACUAACAACGCGGAGGGCCCCUUCUCACCACCUUUUGUUGCUCCUCCUUCGCCGGUCCCUUGUUGCCCUUUCCACUGAAGAACCGAAGAAGGGGAGAAGGAGAAGAAGGAAGGCGUGAGCCACGGAAAGGUCUGGGAUAAAAGGGGGGAAGGGAGUAGAGGAGGCAAAGUAAGAGAGACAGAGCUCGACCGAAGGUCUAAUGAGAGAAGUACACAAACAAGGAUCUGUAGUCACAUGCACGAAGAUGGUUGGUUGGUUGUACGGUUUUAUUCUAUGUCUUUGAGACCUAAGACCUGGACCAUAAUGUCGUAUGAUCUGUAGAAAUCGUCCGUAUAGUAAAACCACCAUCGACCAUCUAUCGAUGUCGGACCUUUAUAACACGAGGCCCACUACAGGAACCAGAAAGAACAAACUACCGUUCACGUUUGUGUCCGCCAAAAGCGGAACACUCCACGGGUUUCACAGAAUUGUAAGAUGGUCUUGGACGUUUACUAAGUCAGAUGGUCACGCCACCUACAUUGUGGUGAGAAUCUCGAUUUUAGGCACAGUCGCUACGUGUUUUACACCGAUGGUUUGUUCAAGCUGUUCUGAGACCCCUAAUGAGACAAGAAGGGUGACACUCGUUACCCCGCAGCUGUUUUGUUCAAGCCGUUCUGAGAUCAUUAAUGAGACAACAAUGGAGACCCUCGUUACCCCACAGAGGGGUUUCGUUGCUUGACCCAAGAUAACCACGACGACGCCUACUAAGGUAGUGAGAACCACCAGGUGCGUGGCUCUAGGUCGUUCUCCCGUUACCGUGGCCUUCGUCGCUCUUCCCACUAUAAUACAGUCUACUCCUCUUACAAUACCUCCAACGUCUAUGACUCUCGUCGCUUCUGCUGUCAAGACUACCGGUCCUGUGGUUACCUGUUUACCUUCUAGAACGACGGGAAUACGUUGGGUCACCGUCGCCCUUACCGUGUGUAUAUCAUCUAAGACUGUUUCUUCUCUUGUUGUGCCACCUCGUUUCACGUCUCUUAAGUCUCCGAACGUUUUAUUUGGUUCUACCACUAUACCUUUCGUCGGACUUAUGGGGUCUCGUCUUGUACUGCAGUAGACUCCUAGCUCUUAAUCGAUCGUUAAACGGUCUUAGACUCCUCUCACCUCGUGCGUUUUGACUUGGGCUUGGGCGCCGUUCGUUCUCUUCGUUCGACCAUUCCCACGUAAGAGCCAGAACACUGGAGGCUCUUCACGGACCUCAUAGUCAACUGAGCGAAUUAAAGGUGAGAAGGGCCUGAAGUAAGGUCAGUUUUUCGAAGUCCCGUUCGCUUGGGGAAGUUAGCUUCUAAUACUUCUGCCACCUACUUAACUUUCCACUGGAAAGACUUUAGAAGUUACUUGGAAGUCUAACGUUCGGUUCCCGUGCGGCAGGUGUAGGCGACUUUGUUCUACCAAUGUCGGUUGGAGAAUGUCGAAUAGUAGGACGACAGUUCGUAAGACCGAUACGUAGAGCGGACUCGUCCAGACCGGUUCAACGAGGGGUACCGGUACCUGACGGGAAUGGAGCCAUACCGGCCGCGUCGCGGAUGAGUAUGUAAGCGUCACCCGUUGACCUUUACUCUGGAACGGGAGUGGUUACGGUGGUGUCGACGGCGGGUGGAACAACGUCGAGGACCUUUGUUCUUGGACGUGGCGUCUUCGGUGGUCGAUACCUCUGUUUCGCCGCCGGACGGAGCUCUUUAGAGACGGCCGGUCAGGAUGCCCCGCGCGGCAAGCAGGAAACGAGCUUGACAGACUCCGAGCAGGUCGACGGGUGGCUAAAACGGUAAGGCUCGUCUCCUUGUGCGUCCGACGUCACACCGAGGACGCGUGUUCAAGAGAGGAUGAGAAUGUCUCUGGGGUUGUCUUUCUUUGAACUCAGUGGUAAACCCCCGCUACUCAGGUCGUGUCUACUGAGCCUUUAAGUGGUCCAUUCGCUACUGGUAUUGUGACCACGGGUAGUUCGACUUGGUAUGAGCCUGAGCAUGAGCCUUCUUAUGCCGUAGAGCCGACCACACUCGAUAAGAUGGCUCCUGCUUGCCGGGGACGUACACAGUUCCUUGAGCAGAAAGUUGUGGUAACUACUUUCUUCACCGUUCCUCAGGUUCGAAGUAGCCAACUACCCCAUGAGAAGUCGCUCACUCGACUACGCCGUAAGAGGACUAGACAUACUCUCAAAGUCGUCUGCUUGCGGAUUACGUUCUUGUAUACUGCACUUUCCGUUUCCGCAAACGUACUGACUACCAAGUCUACGAUUUCUACCACGUCACUUCCCUAGUUUUCGUUUUCUCUCUUCUUACCCGAACGGUAAGGUUCCCUACAAGUUCUUUCCCUAAGUACCUGACCUUAGAGAGUCCGAGCCCAGUAUCCAUUAAAUUGAAGGAAGGAGUCCUAACCGCUCAAAUCCUCUUUCAUAUGUACGUCCCACUCAAAAACCUUACUACUAUCUCACUAUCGAUAAUGAUUACUUACACACCCGAGUGAAUCAACAAACGGUAAGUAGACAGAUGUUCCGAUGAACAAAACCACUAAUACACACGAGAAACUACACACAUAUCAAAGAUCUCUAGUUUAAGAGCUGCAAACACAAACAUACAUAUCUGCUUCCUUAAACACGAAAUAAUCAAGAGGUAAAACAACCCAAAGUAGAACUGCUCCUCUACGACACGGAAAAAAGGGGCUCUUCUGUUGACUUAGGAACUUAAACACCGGAAUAAUAG
rnacentral:rRNA from 1 species